rnacentral:sRNA from 1 species
AAAGAACUUUGGAAAGAGAGUCAAAUAGUGCGUGAAACCGUUGGGAGGGAAGCGAAUGAGGCCGGCUCGGUCCUCUGUGGGAACAGGCGGAUCGAUGAGCGCCCUCUGGCGGAGGGAUCCCCCCGGGGACCCGUCGCCGGUGGGACCGCUCGUCGCUCUCGACCGCACUCCCGCGUGGACCAGUCAGCGGCAGUUUCGGCUGCGCCGUGCGCCCCGCCGGGCAGUUGGCCGAGUCCUUCGGGUCUCGGUGCUGGCCCGUGGGGCGCGACGCGACUGAGACUGAGGAGAGUGGCGGCCCUCGCCCGAGCAGCGCAAGCCACAGGGCCGGACGGCUGCGACGACUGCGUCGGACCGGUGGGGACUGCGUGCAGUGCCCGCUGAGCGAGACGGAGGCGUCGCGGUGCAGUCACGAUGUGCGCUGAGGUCGCUGGCGCCUAGCCGGUCCCAUCCGACCCGUCUUG